UUGUCAACUUACCAUGCAUGGUGAAAAGUUCAUUGUUGUAGAAACAGCUGGUCAACGCUAUUAUUUGCAAAAAAUAUGAGCGGUGAAACACCAGAAAAACGUGCAAAAUAUGAGCGGACGACGCAGGAGCAGCUGCAAUUUUAUGUGCAGUUUUGUAGGGAGCAUCCGGAGCUGC